CAGGUGCUGCAUGGCUGUCGUCAGCUCGUGUCGUGAGGAUGUUCGGGUUAAGUCCCGCAACCGAGCGCAACCCUUGCCAUCAGUUGCUACGAAAGGGCACUCUGAUGGGACUGCCGGUGACAAACCGGAGGAAGGUGGGGAUGACGUCAAGUCCUCAUGGCCCUUAUAGGUGGGGCUACACACGUCAUACAAUGGCCGGUACAAAGGGCAGCAAACCCGCGAGGGGGAGCCAAUCCAUCAAAGCCGGUCGUAGUCCGGAUCGCAGUCUGCAACUCGACUGCGUGAAGUCGGAAUCGCUAGUAAUCGUGGAUCAGCAUGUCACGGUGAAUACGUUCCCGGGUCUU
rnacentral:rRNA from 1 species